rnacentral:lncRNA from 1 species
ACCAUUACAAAGCUACCUUCAAAAAUAGGUUCAAAUUUGACUCAAAAUUAACAACCAAAGAAAAAAUGGAAGCUCAACUGACCUAUAUAUAUGUGUCUACAAGUGUAUAGAAUAUUUGGUCAAAGCUCAAGUGGGAAAAUUAAAAAUCAAACCCUAACAAAAUAAACUAGACUAAAUAGACACAUAUUAUUAAAAAACAAAAUAAAUAUUAAAAUAAAU